GACACUGUUGCCAGGGGAGGUAGAAUCUGCCUUCCCAUAGCUAUCCCGCCAACGCCACCACCCCCAGGAGCGGGAAGGGAUGGAAUAAAGGCCUACUUACUAUCUUUGGCCCAGCAGGAGGUGAGAGGGUUCUUGAGGAAGACUUCAAGAAAAUCGUUGCAGAGUUUGGAGGUGCUCCUUCCGAAGGAGAAUUCCCAUCUCACUCGCUGGCUUAGUAUCUUCUUAGACAGCAGACUUUUUGACCUGCCCUUUACCUACCCAAACAGUGACCUAGGAGAACUAGAGGCAAACCGGGGGGAGGAGAGAGGGACCCCACUGCCCAGCUGCAGCACCACCACGUAGCCCUGCAAAGGAUUCCAGGACACGUUAUGGAAAAUCACCAAGCUUGAGCUCUUUGCCGUUGUCCCCGAGGGCAAGCUGUAAAGCAGAAAUCCGACAGCGAGAAGCUUGGGUCUCCUGAAGGAGUGGCCUCUGGACAAGUCGGGAACCGGAAGCAUCAGAGAAGAGAAGGGAACCGGAAGAUCCAGAGCAGAGACAUGUGCAGGCAGAGGCUUCUGCUGUGUCCCUGGAAGACUCACAUGGACAGUCUGGAAGAAAGCCAACAUCGGGACCCCUGACACACAGCCCAAAGUCAGAAAGGUGAAAAGCAAGUGCCGUCAUGCACAAUUACAUCAGUUCGGCUUCAGAAUAAAACAACAACAACAAUCCUGUGUGCUGUUUGGGGUUCGCCAGAAUAAAAGUUAUGUGAAAUGAACAAAGCGAAUCACCAUCCAA